rnacentral:rRNA from 1 species
GUGGGGAAUAUUGGACAAUGGGCGAAAGCCUGAUCCAGCCAUGUCGCGUGUGUGAAGAAGGUCUUCGGAUUGUAAAGCACUUUAAGUUGGGAGGAAGGGUAGUAACCUAAUACGUUGCUACUUUGACGUUACCGACAGAAUAAGCACCGGCUAACUUCGUGCCAGCAGUCGCGGUAAUACGAAGGGUGCAAGCGUUAAUCGGAAUUACUGGGCGUAAAGCGCGAGUAGGUGGUUCAGUAAGUUGGAAGUGAAAUCCCCGGGCUCAACCUGGGAACUGCUUUCAAAACUGCUGAGCUAGAGUACGGUAGAGGGUGGUGGAAUUUCCUGUGUAGCGGUGAAAUGCGUAGAUAUAGGAAGGAACACCAGUGGCGAAGGCGACCACCUGGACUGAUACUGACACUGAGGUGCGAAAGCGUGGGGAGCAAACAGGAUUAGAAACCCUUGUAGUCC